UACCUAGCGUGGGCACUAACCUCUGAACCUCCCCAGGGCAGGAAUGCAGCAAGGAUAAGAUGCGUUGGUGUGGUGCGCUAGGCUUUA
rnacentral:SRP_RNA from 1 species